GAUGAACGCUGGCUACAGGCUUAACACAUGCAAGUCGAGGGGAAACGACGGGGAAGCUUGCUUCCCCGGGCGUCGACCGGCGCACGGGUGAGUAACGCGUAUCCAACCUGCCUCUGACUGAGGGAUAACCCGUCGAAAGUCGGCCUAAUACCUCAUGGCAUCGUCUGCGGGCAUCCAACGACGAUUAAAGAUUUCAUCGGUCAGGGAUGGGGAUGCGUCUGAUUACCUUGUUGGCGGGGUAACGGCCCACCAAGGCUACGAUCAGUAGGGGUUCUGAGAGGAAGGUCCCCCACAUUGGAACUGAGACACGGUCCAAACUCCUACGGGAGGCAGCAGUGAGGAAUAUUGGUCAAUGGGCGGGAGCCUGAACCAGCCAAGUAGCGUGCAGGAUGACGGCCCUAUGGGUUGUAAACUGCUUUUAUGCGGGGAUAAAGUGAGGGACGUGUCCUUCAUUGCAGGUACCGCAUGAAUAAGGACCGGCUAAUUCCGUG
rnacentral:rRNA from 1 species